GCAUUGGUAGUUCAGCGGUAGAAUUCUCCCCUUCUGUGCAGGAGACCCAGAUUUGAUUUCUGGCCAAUGCA
rnacentral:tRNA from 1 species